GACGAACGCUGGCGGCGUGCUUAACACAUGCAAGUCGAACGGACAGACCCUGCGUUUGCUGCGUGCUCGUGUGGCGCACGCGUGUGUAACACGUGUGUAACCUGUCCUUGACAUUGGGGUAACUCCAGGAAACUCGGGCUCAUACCGGAUAGGAGCUCCUGCUCCACGUUGUGGGUUGGAAAGUUUCGGCGGUUCGGGCUGUACUCGCGGCUUAUCAGCUUGUUGGUUGGGUAGUGGCUUACCAAGGCUUUGACGGGUAGGCGGCCUGAGAGGGUGGACAGGCACAUGGGGACUGAGAUACGGCCCAGACUGGUACGGGACGCAGAAGGGGGGAGUAUUGCAGAAUGGGCGGAAGUGUGAUGCAGCAGUGCUGCGUGCGGAAUGACGUCUUUCGGGUGGUAAACCGAUGUCGACGGUGACGAGGCGAGAGUGACGGUAAUGGGUAAAGAAGCAACGGCUAACUACGUG
rnacentral:rRNA from 1 species